UCAAAUUUGGAACCCUAGUCUCCCUCUCCACGUUCUACAGUUGACCACAAGAUUACUCAAUCAUGGAAGGUAUUCUUAAAUAUGUAUAAUCUUUCCCUGACGUUUUCUUUUGCUUUCUCACUUUCUAAAUCCUACGCUCUAGUCUCUGUUCUCACGUUUAAAAUGUUGAGUGCAGUAUGUAGUAAGUUUCAGUGUAGGGAUAUUAAUGAAAAACUAAGGAAGUUCACAUGGAGGAUUGACAACUUCUCCACUAUUGAAGGCAAAAUGUUGUACUCUGAGGAUUUUAUUGUUGAGGGAAACAAAUGGCGGAUUAUUAUCUAUCCGAAGGUAAACGGUGCAGAUUAUUUGUCAAUUUACUUACGUGUUGCAGAUUCAUCAACUUUGCCUUCUGGGUGGAGUGCAUAUACCCAAUUCGGAUUCGCAAUCAUCGAUCAAAUCAACAGGAGAACUUCCGUUACACAAUGUAUUUUGUUGCAGCAAUCAGAUUUCUAUAAAACAAACGAAAGGAUUAUGGUUGUUCGAAUUACUUCGUUUUACAAGACACCUAUACUAAUUCGCUCUUGAAGAGGAAGAAGAGUUGAAAAGAGUGGUAACUUCUUGUUUGCUUGUAGAUAUUUCAAAACUACCUAAGUGAUGAGCUGGUAUGGUUUUUGAUGUGUAUAGUUCUUUGAUUCUAAAAAAUUGGAUAUACUUAUGCGGAAACUUAUCUAUUUGCUUUUUCCCCUUUGUGAACUUGUUUUAUUUAUCAUCAUACAAAGAUGGUCUAGUAUAAUAGGGGAAGGGUAGCUGAUAUUUGGGUCAUUUGUUGAAUGUUAGCUCAUAAGUGCUGCAUGAAUCAAUUGUGUAAUUCAAUUCCUUUUGUUAUUUACUCGGUCUCUUCUUCAAAUUCAUCAAAGACGUCUCUUUGAAUUCCUUGUUCUGCUUCUUUUACUGUCACAAUAUGUUCUCCUUGGAUAUUGCUUCCUCUUAUUCCGUUUUGGCUAUUUUGCAUUUAUCCUUUUUGGGGGCCGAGUAUUUAUUUUGUAUGUUUCCCUUGGUCCUGGCCUCACUAUGUGGUGAAUGCUUGAGCUUUCCAUAAAUGUACAUGUAGAGAAAUAGAAAAGAUAGACCAGAAUCAAAUGCAAUAUAAACGACACACGGAACGGAGUCACAUGGGUAUUAUGCAUUCAUCUUCCAAGUGUUAUUCACAACGGCUUUUUUACGUUUACACUGGGGCUACCUAUCAUAUGACGACCUCUCCGGCUGCGAAGUUUCGGAUUCAUAUUGGUUGUGGGUUGAGAAAAAGAAUUGGAGUAUAUGAAUCCAGUCUCCCAUUUCCCCCAAUAGCUCAGCUUGUUUGAGGCUUUGGUAUGGUCUAGACAAUCAAAGACCAUAAGCCAAAUAUGUUAUCCAUGCCAUUUUUUCUUAUUGGAAUCUGUUUCUAUCUUGUUUACUCAAGUAGUUGGUGAUGAUAUAUACUCUUACUUUUAGCAGUCGCUACGCGUGAGUUCACAGCAGAGGAGGGAAAUGGUGUCUUCGGCUUCCCAUCAUUCUUACCUCUUAAUGAAUUACGUGACCCUAAAAGUGGCUAUCUUGUUAAAGAUGCAUGCUUGGUUGAAGCCUAUUUUUCCAUUGAUAGGACUAAAGCUUUGAUUUCACAUGAACUAAUAGUCGAAACUGAUUCGGAUAAACUUAAGACCGAGGAAGCUAUUUGUGCUAAGGCAGACACAGACAACCAGAAAACUAUGAUAACCAAGGCAGAAGAAUUAACAACUCCACCAACUCAGCCUUCUUGCCAGGAUGAGGCCAUUGAACCUGAAGAGCCUACUGAUGAAGAUAUGAACACAUUUUUCACUAGCUUAGAGUCUGAACUAAGCUGUAGAACUGUUUUUUCUCGAGAAGAAGCAAAGGAAGCACUGGCUAAAGUAGAGGAAGCCCUGAAUAUGACCCCUGUUAAUUUUUACUGUUUUUGCAAGAGUUCUCCAAGUCAUAAGAAGGCAUUCAAGAUCCUAGCUAGCUUUUAUUGUUCCGCUACCACUCUUACAACAAAGAAAAAAAAAUGUGCUGUCAGCCAUGGAGCAAAGCUUGCAUGAACUAGCUGAUCGAGCAAUGAAAGCCAAGCGGGACAAGGAUCAUCUUACCGAGAAGGAAUCUGUCAAGUUGGAACUUACGCUUAAUUUGGACCUUAAUCUAACCAGAUACAAGGAUGUCAAAUCGGAGGUGAAUCGGAUCGAGGAAAAUCUUGUUGCCCUUAAUAAGCAAAUUGAAGAAGCACACAAGGAAAGGGGGAAAAUGCUGGCUGAAGGGAAGGGGAUAUUCUCAAAUUCCAAGAGAAUAAAAAAGGAGUUGGAAGCAUUGGGAGAGGAACUGGCAGAGUGUGAAGCCGAUGCCAAGGUUGCCGAGAAGGAAGAGAAGACUGUUGAUGCUGAAUGGAGAAGAAUCAAAGAUUUCUUCUAUUCUAUAAAACCAAAGAUCUAAAAGCUGCCAAGGGAACUUUAUAUAGUAUUGGUAUUAUGUGCAAGACUUUACACCAUCUAAAUAUACACUUGUUGGGAUGUAAACCAUUGAACAAGUUCGUUUCCUCUCCUUUUCUCUUCAUCAAAUGCCUUUGUUUA